rfam:Choloepus hoffmanni cont1.10019, whole genome shotgun sequence.
AAAGGAUGUGUAUGAAACACAAGAUGGCCAAGAAGUAUAUGAAAAAUUAAACUAACACUAUCAGUUCAGCUUUGCUUAA